UUUCCGUAGGUGAACCUGCGGAAGGAUCAUUGUCGAAACCUGCCCAGCAGAACGACCCGCGAACUUGUAUAAACAACCGGGGGCGGGGGGCGUUCUCGCCCCGUGCCCCCGAACGGCGGGGAGACACUCGUGCCUUCUUGCCGAACAACGAACCCCGGCGCGGUCUGCGCCAAGGAACUUCAACUAAAGAGUGCCUUCGGUCGCCUCGGAAACGGCGUGCGUGCCGGGGGCGAAUCUUGUGCAAAACCAUAACGACUCUCGGCAACGGAUAUCUCGGCUCUC
rnacentral:misc_RNA from 1 species